rnacentral:rRNA from 1 species
ACUCAAAUGAAUAGACGGGGACCCGCACAAGCAGCGGAGCAUGUGGUUUAAUUCGAAGCAACGCGAAGAACCUUACCAAGGCUUGACAUCCCCUUGACAGGUACAGAGAUGUACAAUCAUUUUCGAAUGCAAGGGAGACAGGUGGUGCAUGGUUGUCGUCAGCUCGUGUCGUGAGAUGUUGGGUUAAGUCCCGCAACGAGCGCAACCCUUAUCCUUAGUUGCCAGCACAUAUGGUGGGCACUCUAAGGAGACUGCCGGUGAUAAACCGGAGGAAGGUGGGGAUGACGUCAAAUCAUCAUGCCCCUUAUGUCUUGGGCUACACACGUGCUACAAUGGUCGGUACAACGGGAAGCGAAGAAGUGAUUUGGAGCAAAUCCCAAUAAACCGAUCCCAGUUCGGAUUGCAGGCUGCAACUCGCCUGCAUGAAGUCGGAGUUGCUAGUAAUCGCGAAUCAGAACGUCGCGGUGAAUGCGUUCCCGGGUCUUGCACACACCGCCCGU